AAACCAACCGGGAUUGCCUUAGUAGCGGCGAGUGAAGCGGCAAGAGCUCAAAUUUGAAAUCUAGCGCCUUCGGUGCUCGAGUUGUAAUUUGUAGAGUGGAUCCUUGGGGCCGUUCCUUGCCUAUGUUCCUUGGAACAGGACGUCAUGGAGGGUGAGAACCCCGUGUGGCGAGGGGUGCGGUUCCGUGUAAGGGCUGCUCGAAGAGUCGAGUUGUUUGGGAAUGCAGCUCUAAGUGGGUGGUAAAUUCCAUCUAAAGCUAAAUACUGGCGAGAGACCGAUAGCUAACAAGUACAGUGAUGGAAAGAUGAAAAGAACUUUGAAAAGAGAGUGAAAAAGUACGUGAAAUUGUUGAAAGGGAAGGGCAUUUGAUCAGACAUGGUGUUUUGCGCCCCCUGCUCCUUGUGGGUGGGGGACUCUCGCAGCUCACUGGGCCAGCAUCAGUUUUGGCGGCUGGACAAAGCCGGAGGAAUGUGGCUUCCCUCGGGAAGUGUUAUAGCCUACGGGAAUACAGCCAGCUGGGACUGAGGAACGCGACUUUUGUCAAGGAUGCUGGCAUAAUGGUUAUAUGCCGC
rnacentral:rRNA from 1 species